rnacentral:misc_RNA from 1 species
GCCGUCGACCACGUCAACGCAAACUUGAGGAGGCCAUCACAUGAGCUCUGGCGACGAGCAUCGACGGCACUUUUGUGUCUCCCUCACGAAUCUUCAUGUUAAUCUGGAGACCAUCGGCGGCGUUACGUACCCGCACCACAUCUUUGGUAGUAACAUGGCGCUCCGAAGCGAAGAGGGCGAGCUGCUGCUGCCUGGCGCCAACGGAGAGGUCCAUGUGAAGGAGGGCGGCCGCUACACCGUCGAGCAUGUCCUACCGAAGUAGCGACUUGGGAAACGAAACAAACAGACGUUGCUGUGUUUACCCUCACCGGGGUUUUCGGGGUUUGCCUUUCUGUGUGUCUCUCUGCGCGGCCUUGUGCUUGCCCACGCCGCGGCUCGAGGUAAUGGAGAGGGAGAUAACAUAGCAAAUGCCAGAUAUGUCGAUGUCGUCGUCUUUGGUGCUGCACGGCGCCCACCGAUGUGUUCAUGCCAAUCGUGCUCUUUAUCUGCACUGGACACGCCUCAGACAGUCGCCGGCUUCUCUUGUAGCCUGAAUCGUUUUGUGUGUUCCCUCCUCUACCUUCCUUGUGGCUCAG